rnacentral:rRNA from 1 species
ACGGAGGGUGCGAGCGUUGUUCGGAAUCACUGGGCGUAAAGGGCGUGUAGGCGGUCCGCUAAGUCUGAUGUGAAAGCCCGGGGCUCACCCCCGGAAGUGCAUUGGAAACUGGCGAACUCGAGUCCCGGAGAGGAGAGUGGAAUUCCUGGUGUAGCGGUGAAAUGCGUAGAUAUCAGGAGGAACACCGGUGGCGAAGGCGGCUCUCUGGACGGUGACUGACGCUGAGACGCGAAAGCGUGGGGAGCAAACAGGA